AAAAAGUUUCAACCGCUCUUUUGUAUGUUUUAAAGAAGUAUAACUCACAUACAUAGGCGAGUCUAGACUGGAGG
rnacentral:sRNA from 1 species